rnacentral:lncRNA from 1 species
AAAAAAAGGAUUGGGGAUUUCUUUGGGGUAAAAUGCUGAAAUACUUUUUCUAUUCAAACUCCCAUUAAAUAUUAUCUUUCCAGGUCUUGGCUGUAGAGUACAGCUGAACUGGAGAAAUCUUCUGCCUGAAGCCAAAACAAACAGAAAAUCACUAACAGAAAUAAGGUGGGUGACUUCAAACAGAAGAGGUACUGGUUACUGGUUUCAGAGGUGAAGAAAAUAAAUACAUUUAAAGGAAUUGCUGAAAGCUGCCUCUCGAGGAUUGCAACUUCACCUUUUGCUUUUACGGAUGCUUGUUUACUAUCCUUGUGGUAACCUCUGGACAGCCAGUAAUCCAUUCAUUAUCCACACUGAUUGAGUGCAGGAGUAGUGCAGUGGUAACUACUUCACUCAGCUGACGG